UACAGAGGGGGCAAGCGUUAUUCGGAAUUAUUGGGCGUAAAGGGCGCGUAGGCGGCUUUUCAAGUGACGGGUGAAAUCCCUCGGCUUAACCGAGGAACUGCCUGUCAGACUGGAAGGCUUGAGACCGGGGAGAGGUGAGUGGAAUUCCCAGUGUAGCGGUGAAAUGCGUAGAUAUUGGGAGGAACACCAGUGGCGAAGGCGGCUCACUGGACCGGUACUGACGCUGAGGCGCG
rnacentral:rRNA from 1 species